UACGUAGGGGGCUAGCGUUGUCCGGAUUUAUUGGGCGUAAAGAGCGUGUAGGCGGCCUGGUAGGUCCGCUGUGAAAACUCGAGGCUCAACCUCGAGAUGUCGGCGGAAACCACUUGGCUAGAGUCCGGAAGAGGAGAGUGGAAUUCCCGGUGUAGCGGUGAAAUGCGCAGAUAUCGGGAAGAACACCUAUGGCGAAGGCAGCUCUCUGGGACGGUACUGACGCUGAGACGCGAAAGCGUGGGGAGCGAACAGG
rnacentral:rRNA from 1 species